UACGUAGGGUGCGAGCGUUAAUCGGAAUUACUGGGCGUAAAGCGUGCGCAGGCGGUUCUCCAAGUCCGUUGUGAAAGCCCCGGGCCCAACCUGGGAAUGGCAGUGGAAACUAGGGGACUGGAAUCUGGCAGAGGGGGGUGGAAUGCCGCGUGUAGCAGUGAAAUGCGUAGAGAUGCGGCGGAACACCGAUGGCGAAGGCAGCCCCCUGGGCUGAGAUUGACGCUCAGGCACGAAAGCGUGGGGAGCAAACAGG
rnacentral:rRNA from 1 species